AUCAUAUCUCUUACCGCAUAAGUAAUUUCAAAGCUCAAAAUUAGUAAUAUGCUUUAUGCGAGUACGAGUGAUUUCUUAUGACUCCGUUAUCAGCAUCACUGAAAUUAUGCAGGUGAAAUACAUGGCUGAAAUAUUACCCGUUCGAUCAGCUCGAACUGUGAAGUCUCCUCCGUCCCUUGAUUCAUUUGGUUCCAGUCCAGGCCGCAUUGACCGUCAUAAUAUCUUAAACCAACCAAAUGGGAACGCGAGCAAAAUGGUGUAAAUACCAUAAUGUUUUCUAAUUGGACCAUUACACAUGUACUUGGAAAUGGAGAAGCAUCGACUGAAGCACAUAACAAGAAUGAAUGGGUUGAGAAAGAUGCGCCUGACGUCUACAUCAUUCUUACAGCCUUAGCCAGUGGUGUUACCGACCUCAAACGUGUCCGUUUCAGCCGAAAAGUGAGAAACAAACGUAAUAGUGGUGGUCAGAUAACAGAAGAAGAGUCUACGAACAAUACAAUAUACGAAUGGUCGACAAAACCAGUACGGAAAUGCCUCACUGAGACUCUUUUACCCCAACCAUUUCUGUGAUUUUCCCAAGCCCGAGGCAUCUGAGUGCAAAUCUUGGGAUAUAACAUAUCUUCUAUAUAUAAAGAUAAAAAAUUUAAAGUUUUGAAAGUGUUUUACGUCUUCUUUCAUUGUAGUUUGGGGGCUCUGUGGUGUUUAUUGUGAGAAGGUAGUAAAUUCUACAUGUAAAAAAUCUGUCCUCACGUCCUCACAAUGGGUUUCGAUCAGAUUUGUAGAUUCAUUGCAACAUUUGGGAAGUAAAGAACUACUACAGAUUAUUACAACCAUUUCUUUCACGGUACUCAUGAUGACUUGAGGAAAAAUGUUUCAGAAGGGGACUAGCUUUCUGCUUUUAAAUGGUCUAAGGAAUAGUGUGAAGCUUGAUCAACCUUCUGAUUUAUAACGUGAGACCGCCAAAGAUUAUAAAAGAAAACUGUUAACUAUGAUCGAUGCGGCGAAAAGACAUUACAGUGGUAGAUCUCCUGGAUAA